rnacentral:lncRNA from 1 species
AGCUACUCAGGGGGCUGAGGCAGGAGGAUCACAAGUUUGAGGCCAGCCUCGGAAUUUAUUGAGAUCCUACUUAAAAGUAAAAUAAAAAUAAGGCUGGGGAUGUAUAUCAGUGAUAGAAUGCUUGCCUAGUAUGGGUGAGGCCCAGCCAGAUACUGGGGCUUAAAUCCAGGGGGCACUUUACCACUAAGCUACAUUCUUAGUCUCCCCUCCCCCCUUUUUUUCUUUUCUUGAGACAGGGUCUCACUAAGUUGUGCAGGCUGACCUCCAACUUGUGAUGUUCUUGCUUUAGCCUCUUGAGUCACUGGAAUUACAGGUGUAUGAAACCAUUUCUGGCUUGUUUUGUUAUUUUAAUGUGCUCCAAGAGAAUCUGUGGCAAACCUCUAGAUGGGCACCAAUUGUCAUAGCAAUUCUAGACCUGAUAUUUGAGAAAUCAGGAGUUUAUUACAAUGUUCCCUUGAAAAGACAUUCUACCUGUCAUCCCAUUUGGCACUCAGGAUGGUGCGGUGAGGGAGGCAGGAUCACCAAGUAUAAACGAAGUUCUCUCAUGACCUCCAUAGCAAAGACAUCAUCUAUCAGGAGAACCAACAUUGGAGAACUCCUUGUUGACGUUCUGAGCACUUGGCACUUCUACUCAUUCAAAACGGACAAUCAACAAUUUUUGGAAAGUGAGAGGAAGCCAGAGAUAUAGAGUUAUUUGCCCGAGAUUGCACAGCCAGAGCGUGACCGAACUGGCAUCUGAAAUCAGGUGCUGUGAGUCAAAGUUUAUCCCUGUUCUCUGGCUUCCAGAAAUUCUGUUGCCUGCAUCUAAAGUUCACUACUUCAUGCUUCCACCUGAGGCUUAUUCUCUCUGGGAGGGCAGGUUCAGCCUCAGUCUCCUUAGUAAUGGUCAAGGUGGUGAGGCUUGUGCUCAGUUCUAAUAGAGUCCCUUUUCCACCAAAGUAGAAUGAGGGAGGGGCCAAUGGAUGCUGAGUGUUUAUUGGUAGAGUGGGAUAGUUGGC